GCAGCGCGGAUUGGUGGGCUCUGCUCGAGCAGCCUUGCAGACCACCUUUGGGUGCACGAGCUCUGUGCAAUACUCCUGCAAUGACUUCUUUUUACCAGUGAUGAAAGAAGACUUUGCGCGGGUUUUAGGUUCGUGUUGAGCUCCUCAUCACACCUGUUUCUACAUCCCAUGAAGAAGAGCUUGAACGUGUUGCUGUGCAAAAGGACAUGAACAUGGUCCAAAAGUGGAUGCAGACACUUGUUUUACUGUUCUUUUGUCAAGAAACUCUCCAACGGAAUUAUCUAACAGAGAAAAGGGAUGGUGACCAUGCACCUUGCUUGGCCAGCCCCUAUGACAACAACAACCACAAUGACUGCACCAAUGACCACAACCAUAGAGCUAACCAGCUCUACAACUGCCAAGUCGUGCAAAGUGGGAAAGGUGGAACCUAGUGCUCCUGUGAUUUGAUUGUUUGGGCCCCAUUUGGCUGCUGGCUGUGGCCUCCUCUUCAACAUCACCGUAUCCCAUUGCAACCCUGAGUCCUGCAUUCACUCACCAAUAUAGCCCCAUGUACCCAUGAAACACACACCCACCAAACAAAACAAGAGUAUUGAACCAACUGAUGUAAAUAUGCUGCCUUCAUUUUUCUGUUAGAAUGUACACUCUAUGACCAAAAGAAUGUGGACAGCUGCUCGUUGAACAUCUCAUUCCAAAAUCAUGGGGAUUAAUAUGGAGUCGGUCCCCCUCUUUGCUGCUACUCUUCUGGGAAAGCUUUCCGCUAGAUGUUGGAACAUUGCUGCAGGCACUUGCUUCCAUUCAGCCACAAGAGCCUUAGUGAGCUCAUGCAUUGAUGUUGUGCGAUUAGGCCUGGCUGUAGCGUUAAGAUUUCCCUUCACUGGAACUAAGGGGCCUAGUCCGAACCAUGAAAAACAGCCCCAGAUAAUAAUUUCUCCAACACCAAACAUUACAGUUGGCACUAUGCAUUGGGGCAGGUAGCGUUCUCCUGGCAUCUGCCAAACCCAGUUUAGUCCGGUGGACUGCCAGAUGAUAAACGAUAUUCAUGCGUUUCCACUGCUCCAAAGUCCAGCGGUGGCGGCGAGCUUUCAUAUAAUUUCCACCACUCCAGCCGAAAUCCAUUUUUGGAAGCUCCCCACGAACAUGUAUUGUGCCGACGUUGCUUCCAGAGGCCGUUUGGAACUUGGUAGUGAGUUUAGCAGAAAUGCAACACUCACAGAAGUGUUGCAGAAAUGUGACAAACUUAUUUUGGAAAGGUGGCAUCCGAUGACAAUGCCACGGUGAAAGUCACUGAGCUCUUAACGCCAUUCUACUGCCAAUGUUGGUCAAAUGAGAUUGCAUGGCUAUACACCUGUCAUCAACGGGUGUGGCUGAAAUAGCCAAAUCCACUCAUUUGAAGGGGUGUUCACAUACCUUUGUAUAUAUAGUGUAUUAACAUUUUCAUAUACAUUUCCAUAUUUCCAUUUUAAAUGAAUUAUAAAAAAUAUUAAAUCAAUAUUUUUAUUUGUUCAUUUAAAACGUUACAAUUAUUUUCAUUUAGAACGAAGCAAUGCCCACAUUACAAAAGACAGGACAUUUUCCUUCUUUAAUAUGUCAAACAUGAGUCCUGUAAUGAUGUAUGCAGCCUAGAAAAUUAGUAGUUGAAAAAAGAGAAGGUCCACACUUUUGGGAGUUUUCUCCCCUAAAAGUCCAACUGAGUUUGUGAUUAGAGACGACAAGUUUCUCUUAUUUUUCUCUUGUAUUCAGGCCGAGAAUGGCAACAACAUCCUAUAGCCAAUAACAGACUUUUCUAAUCCUGGUUAGUGUUUAUUAUAAAGUAAUUACAAGACAGCCCAACCCCCCCAUUGUUUGAGUGGUUACAUUUUAUUUUUAAAUAACAAUUGAGCAUAUGACAUUCACAAUGUCGUUAGUGAUGCUUAUAACACAGGUGAUUUAUGUAGCUUACUACGUUUGUCUAUUCUUCUCACAGACAGAGAGACGGAAGACGGUGCGACGUCUCUACUAUCAACCAUUUAGUUUGUUCUAUUACAUACAUUUUUACUGAGACAUUUGUUCCGUAACACCAUUGAAAUAGUAGAAUUCUCGCUCUCUUCAUUUAAUCAACAUAAUAGCUUUAUGGCAGGUUUGUGUAGAUGUUUCAUGUCGUCACUCAGUCUGACGAGAUAUGUAUUGCUUAUAGCUUAGUUUAAAAUGAUGUUAUGAGAUACUUUUCUCCUUCUCCUGGCCUGUAAAUUAAACCAAAGACAAAAGCUCUGCAGUGAAACUUCAAUAAAACCAAGGUAACAUUUUCUAACUCAAAUUGUUGGAAUUCUUCCUGAUACUCAUAUUUACUUUCUUCCUAGACGUCUAUGAAUGUUUGGUAGAAAUGUGCCAUAUAAAGCAAUAUUUUGGAAUACUUGAA